rnacentral:rRNA from 1 species
CAGCCGCGGUAAUACGUAGGGGGCUAGCGUUGUCCGGAUUUAUUGGGCGUAAAGAGCGUGUAGGCGGCCAGGUAGGUCUGCUGUGAAAACUCGAGGCUCAACCUCGAGACGUCGGCGGAAACCAUCUGGCUAGAGUCCGGAAGAGGAGAGUGGAAUUCCUGGUGUAGCGGUGAAAUGCGCAGAUAUCAGGAAGAACACCCGUGGCGAAGGCGGCUCUCUGGGACGGUACUGACGCUGAGACGCGAAAGCGUGGGGAGCGAACAGGAUUAGAUACCCUGGUAGUCCACGCCGUAAACGAUGGGUGCUAGGUGUGGGCGGUGUCGACUCCGUCCGUGCCGAAGCUAACGCAUUAA